UACGUAGGUCCCGAGCGUUGUCCGGAUUUAUUGGGCGUAAAGCGAGCGCAGGUGGUUUAUUAAGUCUGUGUAAAAGGCAGUGGCUCAACCAUUGUAUGCAUUGGAAACUGGUAGACUUGAGUGCAGGAGAGGAGAGUGGAAUUCCAUGUGUAGCGGUGAAAUGCGUAGAUAUAUGGAGGAACACCGGUGGCGAAAGCGGCUCUCUGGCCUGUAACUGACACUGAGGCUCGAAAGCGUGGGGAGCAAACAGG
rnacentral:rRNA from 1 species